rnacentral:rRNA from 1 species
UACGGAGGGUGCAAGCGUUAUCCGGAUUCACUGGGUUUAAAGGGUGCGUAGGUGGACAGGUAAGUCAGUGGUGAAAUCUCCAAGCUUAACUUGGAAACUGCCGUUGAUACUAUCUGUCUUGAAUAUCGUGGAGGUAAGCGGAAUAUGUCAUGUAGCGGUGAAAUGCUUAGAUAUGACAUAGAACACCGAUUGCGAAGGCAGCUUACUACGCGGUCAUUGACACUGAGGCACGAAAGCGUGGGGAGCAAAC